GAUGAACGCUGGCGGCGUGCCUAAUACAUGCAAGUCGAGCGAACAGACGAGGAGCUUGCUCCUCUGACGUUAGCGGCGGACGGGUGAGUAACACGUGGAUAACCUACCUAUAAGACUGGGAUAACUUCGGGAAACCGGAGCUAAUACCGGAUAAUAUAUUGAACCGCAUGGUUCAAUAGUGAAAGACGGUUUUGCUGUCACUUAUAGAUGGAUCCGCGCCGCAUUAGCUAGUUGGUAAGGUAACGGCUUACCAAGGCAACGAUGCGUAGCCGACCUGAGAGGGGGGUCGGCCACACUGGAACUGAGACACGGUCCAGACUCCUACGGGAGGCAGCAGUAGGGAAUCUUCCGCAAUGGGCGAAAGCCUGACGGAGCAACGCCGCGUGAGUGAUGAAAGUCUUCGGAUCGUAAAACUCUGUUAUUAGGGAAGAACAAAUGUGUAAGUAACUAUGCACGUCUUGACGGUACCUAAUCAGAAAGCCACGGCUAACUACGUG
rnacentral:rRNA from 1 species